UACGGAGGGUGCAAGCGUUAAUCGGACUUACUGGGCGUAAAGCGUGCGCAGGCGGUUUGGUAAGUCUGUUGUGAAAUCCCCGAGCUCAACUUGGGAAUUGCAAUGGAUACUGGCAGGCUGGAGUAUGGUAGAGGAAGGUGGAAUUCCCGGUGUAGCAGUGAAAUGCGCAGAUAUCAGGAGGAACACCGGUGGCGAAGGCGGGUCUCUGGGCCGAUACUGACGCUGAGGAGCGAAAGCGUGGGGAGCGAACAGG
rnacentral:rRNA from 1 species